UACGGAGGAUCCAAGCGUUAUCCGGAUUCAUUGGGUUUAAAGGGUGCGUAGGCGGAAUGAUAAGUCAGUGGUGAAAGCCUGCUGCUUAACAACAGAACUGCCAUUGAUACUGUCAAUCUUGAGUACAUUUGAUGUGGGCGGAAUGUGUCAUGUAGCGGUGAAAUGCUUAGAUAUGACACAGAACACCGAUUGCGAAGGCAGCUCACAAAACUGUAACUGACGCUGAGGCACGAAAGCGUGGGUAUCAAACAGG
rnacentral:rRNA from 1 species